rnacentral:rRNA from 1 species
AUACGUAGGGGGCGAGCGUUGUCCGGAAUGAUUGGGCGUAAAGGGCGCGUAGGCGGCCCGGUAAGUCUGGAGUGAAAGUCCUGUUUUUAAGAUGGGAAUUGCUUUGGAUACUGUCGGGCUCGAGUGCAGGAGAGGUAAGUGGAAUUCCCAGUGUAGCGGUGAAAUGCGUAGAGAUUGGGAGGAACACCAGUGGCGAAGGCGACUUACUGGACUGUAACUGACGCUGAGGCGCGAAAGUGUGGGGAGCAAACAGGAUUAGAUACCCUGGUAGUCCACACCGUAAACGAUGAAUGCUAGGUGUAGGGGGUAUCGACCCCUUCUGUGCCGCAGUCAACACAAUAAGCAUUCCGCCUGGGGAGUACGGCCGCAAGGUUGAAACUCAAAGGAAUUGACGGGG